UCGAGACCGCCCCCUCAUCCGGCUGGUCGGAGUUGGCGGGGCGGGGCGCCAAUGCCAGGGAACCCUUACAAGGGCCGCGAGGCCUUGCUGGAUGUGGUGACCGCAGAGCUGGGGCGGCCUCGACUUUGGUCGUGGUCGGGGUCCUGUAAGUGUUCCGGUCCUAGUUAUCUUGAACUGGAACUUGUUUCUCCGAAGAGGCCUCUGCCUGUUGAAAUCUCAAGCAUUUGGCGUGCCUUCUAGUAAGCCGUUAAUAAAUACAGGAAGCAUAGUUUA